ensembl:lncRNA
GCACAUAGCAGGGGGGUUGAAACUUGAUGAUCACUGUGGUCCUUUUCAACCCAGGCCAUUCUGUGAUUCUAUGAUUCUGUGACUUCAAUUGUGUUUGGUUUGGUUUUAGUGAGUGCUGGCACUCAGGAAAACACCACUCCAACUCUGGAGUGAUUUGAUUAGCAGUGCUGAGUGAUUAGAUUAGCAGAGUGGCUGGACAGAGCUGUUGAUUACUUCUCAUUCCAGCUGAUGACUGUAUCCUCAGUGCACAAGUAGCUCAAACCAUGAAUUUGUAUAGAUAAACCUGCACAUGCUUAUAUCCCACUGUUUGUUUGUAAUUUACAACCUUGCCUCUUGUCAGCACUUCUAGUCUCUCAGCUUACUUAGUGGUCUGUACUGGCUGUAAGCUCUGGUGUUAAACUGCACUGGCGAUCAUCAUAUGUUACAGAAAAUGUCAGGAACAGAAAGUAUUGGUUCUUUGUCAUAACUCCAGAGGAGAUAUAUUUCAGAUUUUCUGGGUAAUGCUCUUUCUAGAGUGGUGUUUCUUGCACAAAUACUAUAGUUUUGUGACGCUGUUGCAAGUAGGGAUAGUUUUCACUGUCUUUUCAUCUUUCCUGAGUCCUACAUAGUGGCAAAACUUCCUAGGAAAUAACCCUAAUUUAAAGGCUGAAUAUCUGUGCACGUAGGUUCCCACUUGCUGUUUGUGAGCAGUUCUGUCAAAGGACAAAAGAAAAUAAAGCAAGUAGAUGGUGAGAGUAGAAUUUCUCUUUAUAAACACAGUCCUCUCUGCAUUACGUGUUAAAGCUAGCUGGUCACCUGGGCUACAGCUGUUGUCAGGACAGAAGAUGAUAAGCACGUCCUGUGAAUGCUGCUUUUUCUCUGCUCAGUGACUUCCAGGAAAUGUGGUGUUACUGAGUUCAUGAAGCUUGAUAAAGUUCAGCAAGAUGGAUCCUACCCUUCCUGCUCUCUGCCAAGAGGAAGCAGACCUAUGCUGCUGCUCUUCUGCCAAGAAAUAGCAGACGUUAUGUUUGCCCAUAUGGAGCAGUGCUCUGAAUUCUUGUGCUUGGAAUACAAGUGGAAUUCUCUUGUUACUAAAAAGCAAAACAAAGCAACUUGCUCAGAAACCAGUAAAAGGCUUUUAAGAAUGUGUGGAAUAGACAUUCUUUUCUGGAUGCCAGGGACAAUUUCACGUUCUAUUGGAUCACUGAACGCUUCUUUGCCUCUCUGGGUAAUAAAGGCAUGCAAAGAACAAAGGGAAAAGAAAGUAACAAUGCAUGCAUGAUCUUAAAGAGUCACACUAAUGAGUAAAAGUAAUGUAAGAAAUGGAAUGGGGCUGUAAUGCUUUGCAUUGCUGAUAACAGUUGAUAUUUGCAUAGUAACAGUGUUAAAAUCCUUCUAAAUUGGACCUUCGCCUCCUCUGCGCUGGGAAUUUCACUAUGUGAGGUGUGAGGCAAUACAACUCGUGGCCCUAAUAUCUAAUAUCCCACUGAGUUUCUGAGUCACCUUAUUGCUCUGAAAUAAAAGCACUUUG